rnacentral:rRNA from 1 species
GUGGGGAAUCUUCCGCAAUGGACGAAAGUCUGACGGAGCAACGCCGCGUGAGUGAUGAAGGUCUUCGGAUUGUAAAGCUCUGUUAAUCGGGACGAAAGAGCCUAGUGUGAAUAAUGCUAGGAAGUGACGGUACCGGAAUAGAAAGCCACGGCUAACUACGUGCCAGCAGCCGCGGUAAUACGUAGGUGGCAAGCGUUGUCCGGAAUUAUUGGGCGUAAAGCGCGCGCAGGCGGAUCUGCCAGUCUUUCUUAAAAGUUCGGGGCUUAACCCCGUGAUGGGAUGGAAACUACAGAUCUAGAGUAUCGGAGAGGAAAGUGGAAUUCCUAGUGUAGCGGUGAAAUGCGUAGAUAUUAGGAAGAACACCAGUGGCGAAGGCGACUUUCUGGACGAAAACUGACGCUGAGGCGCGAAAGCCAGGGGAGCGAACGGGAUUAGAUACCCUAGUAGUCC